UUGGGAGCUCACUAACUUUGGAGUUAUGAUAACUCUGAAGUUAAGCGAGUUGAGGCUAGAGCAAUCCCAGGAUGGGUGACCCACUGGGAAGUUGUUCGUGAUCUCCCAGA
rfam:Prunus persica cultivar Lovell chromosome G3, whole genome shotgun sequence.